rnacentral:rRNA from 1 species
UACGAAGGGGGCUAGCGUUGCUCGGAAUCACUGGGCGUAAAGCGCACGUAGGCGGAUUUCUAAGUCAGGGGUGAAAUCCUGGAGCUCAACUCCAGAACUGCCUUUGAUACUGGGAAUCUCGAGUCCGGGAGAGGUGAGUGGAACUGCGAGUGUAGAGGUGAAAUUCGUAGAUAUUCGCAAGAACCCCAGUGGCGAAGGCGGCUCACUGGCCCGGUACUGACGCGGAGGUGCGAAAGCGUGGGGAGCAACCAGG